AACGAACGCUGGCGGCAUGCCUAACACAUGCAAGUCGAACGAGACCUUCGGGUCUAGUGGCGCACGGGCGCGUAACGCGUGGGAACCUGCCUUUAGGUUCGGAAUAACUCAGAGAAAUUUGAGCUAAUACCGGAUGAUGUCUUCGGACCAAAGAUUUAUCGCCUUUAGAUGGGCCCGCGUUGGAUUAGCUAGUUGGUGGGGUAAAGGCCUACCAAGGCGACGAUCCAUAGCUGGUCUGAGAGGAUGAUCAGCCACACUGGGACUGAGACACGGCCCAGACUCCAACGGGGGGCAGCAGGGGGGAAUAGUGGACAAGGGGGGAAGGCCUGAACCAGCAAUGCCGGGUGAGGGAGGAAGGCCUGAGGGUUUAAAAGCUUUUUUACCCGAGAUGAUAAUGACAGUAUCGGGAGAAUAAGCCCCGGCUAACUCCG
rnacentral:rRNA from 1 species